GGGGGCGAAUUGGAUUCGACGGGGAUAAGUGGGGUUUAGCGGGGCAUGCCGAGGUCCCAAUGGCUCGUAAAACAAUUGGGAAAAAACAAACGCAGACAAUUACGCUCUGCCUUUAGCUGCCUAAGAACAGCUAAUCUCGGUUAAGUUCUCGCCUGCGGGGCUUAAUCGGGACAAAUUAGCAGGCUGGUCUUUCUUUCACCGCUUGAUGGAGAAAAGAUGAGAACAAUUCAAGCUGGUCCUUUGAGUAUCCUGCCUCUGGGAGACUUAAAGGGCGAGAUUAAAACAGAGGAUAAGCAUGUAGGACCUUAAAUUUCAUAUCUUCGGACAGGGGUUCGAUUCCCCUCGCCUCCAUUA
rfam:Candidatus Schekmanbacteria bacterium GWA2_38_11 gwa2_scaffold_2925, whole genome shotgun sequence.